rnacentral:rRNA from 1 species
GACAGAGGGUGCAAACGUUGCUCGGAAUUACUGGGCGUAAAGCGCGUGUAGGCGGACUGGUGAGUCGGAUGUGAAAUCCUCAGGCUCAACCUGGGAACUGCAUUCGAAACUGCCAGCCUUGAGUGGUGGAGAGGGAAGUGGAAUUCCUGGUGUAGAGGUGAAAUUCGUAGAUAUCAGGAGGAACACCAGUGGCGAAGGCGGCUUCCUGGACACCAACUGACGCUGAGACGCGAAAGCGUGGGGAGCAAACAGG